rnacentral:tRNA from 1 species
GGUGGCUCAAUGGUAGAGUGCUUGCCUUGCAUGCAUGAGGCCCUGGGUUCAAAUCCUCAGCACCA